GUGCUCUAAUUUGUUUCUCAAAAGCCUUGAUUUGUCUAGAAGCAUCAUCUAAUUCUCGUCGUGCAGAACUGGCCUCCUCCAGUUGCUGUUCCAGCUGACCGGAAUCUAAAAAGAAAAGCUUUUAAUUUCUAGAUCUUUGCUUGCUGUUAUUGGACCAUCCACAGUUGAAUACUGUAAAGCCUGGACUGUCUGGGUGGAUUCUAAAAACAAAGAAGAGUACCAUGAGAUAAGCCUUCCACACUCCCCCAAUAUAUUCUUUAAGAUGUCAGAAGAAAGUGACACUAUUGAUAAGUGGAGAAGUGCACAAAAUUGUCUCUAUACCAAUGGUAGGAGACUGGAAAAAACCAGGAGGAAUUGAAAAUUCAACUGACGAGAAGAAAUUUGAUACACUUGACCUUACUGAUUCCAGCUGCUUUAAUUGGAAUGUUAAAAGCAUUGAUUAUAACCUGUUCAGGAAAGAUAGCACAGGUGUGGGGGGGGGGGAGUGACACUGUACACUAAGGGCACAAUUACAAGUAAUUGGUAACUCAGAAGCACAUGAUCUUUAAUGCAUAUGGAUCAAGGUGUUAACCAGCUGACCAUCAAAUCAAAGUAGAGCUCAGGAUGAGUUACUCUGUAAACACCUGUCUGUAAUGUGUGUAUGGGGGGAAAUUGUGUUGUUACAAGGCACUUCAAUUUGUUAAAUGCAUGCUAGAGGUCUAAUGCAGCCAGUAGUAAAACAUCAUUAGAGUUUCUAAAAAUUAUAGAUGAUAAUUUUCUGACACAAAAAAUAUUACAUCCAACAUGAGGGAAGGACAUCAUUAUGAUGGAUAAAGAUGAAUUAAUCACUGGACCAAAAGUUGGUGGUUGCCUAGGGACCAGUGAUUAUGAACUGAUUACAUUCAAUGUGGGCAAAAAGAAGACAGUUCCAACCAGUAAUAUAUACACUUGGUGCUUCAAAAGGGGUAAUUCCCCAAAGCUCAAGAAAAUUAUGAGUGAAACUGAUUGAGAGGAAAAGCUUAGACAAAAAAUGUGAAUGAAAAUUGGGAGAUUUUUGAAGCAGAGUUUAUUAGAUGGCUAAAAGCCAUGAUUCCACAAUCAAACAUCUUCAACUAAAAGCCCAUCCUGGUUGGUGGGUGAGGGAAGACAGAAAUUAUAAAUAAAAAAACCAAUGUCUACUAAAUUGAAAAAGGGGAAAUAGAUAACAAUUGAUAUAAAUUAGAAGUUAUGAUGUUCAGAAAUUGACAAGGAAAGUUAACAACAUCAGGGAAAAAUCCAUAAAUAGCAGGGCUAAGGACAAAAAGGUUUUUAAAAGUAUACUAGGGAACAAAACAGAUGGCAAAAUGUUAAUCAUGAAGAAAAGGCAGAAGUGUUCAAUUAAUAUUUUUGUUCUGUAUUGGAAAGAAACAGGAUGGUGUGGUUGUAUCACAUGGGGAUGAUGAAGUACUAUCCAGUCCAUUAAUAACAGAAGUUACACAGUAUCUAAUACAGUGCAACAGAGUGAACUGUCACAUGGUGGGAGGAAAGGAAAACAAAA